UUGCUUUACAAUGUUGUGUUAGUUUCUACUGUACAGCAAAGUGAAUCAGCUAUACGUAUACAUGUAUCCCCUCUUUUUUGGAUUUCUUUCCCAUUUAGGUCACCACAGAGCAUUGAUACCUUUUAUAUUUAGGUCUAUAAUUCACUUGGAAUUGAUUUUUGUGUAUGGUGUGAGUUAGGGGUCUAUUUCUAUGUUUUUCCAUACGGACAUGCAAUUGUCCCAGUCCAGUUAUUGAAAAGAACACACAUUGUCUACUGUAGUGCCAGUUGUAUCGUAAGUCAGGUGUCCAUAUAUGUGUGGGUCUGGACUCUCUUUUCUUUUCCAUUGAUCUCUGUGUUCUAUCCCUGUACCAGUACUAUGGUGUUAAGUACUGGAAGCCCCUAAAGUAUCUUGAUAUCAGUCAAGUGAGUCCUUCCAACUUGUUUCUUCUUUUUUAAGAGUAUUAUGGCUAUUUUGGGGCAUUUGUAUUUGCCCAUAAAAAUUUCAAAACCAGCUAGUCAAAUUCUACACAUUCACACUUGUGUGUUUUUGUGCACAUGUGCAUACACACAUGUACACACAUGAAGUCACCACCAACAAAAACAAUGUAAAGUCCCCACAUGUUGAAUUACUCAUUGAGAUUGCUUUGGCUAAAAUCAAUGUAAUGAGAAUUGACAUCUGAGUCGUCUAACCCAUGAACAUGGUAUAUCUGUCCAUUUAUGUAGGAUUAUUACUUUUCAGCUUUUAUUCCUCUCUGUGUAUUUUCAUAGCUUCUUUGCGUGGAUUUUAGUAUGUAUUAUUUUGGUUAUCGUGCAUUUCAAGUGUUUUCUAAUCUGUAUUUUUUUUUUUUUGACCCAUGGAUUAUUUAGAAAUGUAUUUCUUAAAUUCUGAACAAAUAAGAAUUAUCUUUUGGAGACUGAUUUCUAACAUAAAUUCAUUAUGAUCAAAGAGCACAUACUUGAUGUUCUUUGUCCUAUGAAAUUCAUUAAGACUUGCUUUAUGAACCCAGCAUGUGGUCAGUUUCUGCAACUGUUGUGUGUGUGCUUGAAAAUCACAUCUAUUCUCUAGUAGUGGAGUACAGUAUUUUUAGGUCAAGUUUGUAAAAUUUUUACAUUUUUAGUGAUAUUUUUGUCUACUUUGGUUUAUUGGUUGUGGAGAGAAAUGUUUUAAAGUAUCAGCCUAUGAUUAUAGAUUUCUCUAAAUUUAUCCUUUUAGUUAUAUAAUAUUUUUCUUUAUAUAUUUUGAAACAACAUUGUUAGACUGAGAUGUAUAAUAGGUCUUGAAAAAUAUCCCUGUUGUCACUGUAAAGUGACCCUCUGUAUCUCUAAAAAUGCUUUUUGCCUGGUACUAAUACAGCUACUUUAUCUCACUUUUGGUUGGUAUUUACAUGGUAUAACCUGUACAAUCCUUUUAUUUUCAGUCUUUCUGUAUCAGAGGUAUUUGUUGUAAACAGCAUAGUUGAUUUUUUCUUAAUCUUAGUUUCUUUGCCUUUUAGCUAUUGCAUUUAGCCCAUUUAUAUUUACUAUAAUUACUGAUGUGUUUGUAUUUAAGCUACUCUGGUUUGCUUUCUAUUUUAUUCUAUUUUUCUCUCUUUCUUUUGGAUUGAUUGUUUUAUAUAGUUCAAUGUUUAUCUUUUUCUAGUUUAAAAUUUUUUAAUUCUUUUUUUCUAUUCUGUUAAUAGUGCCCUGGGAAAUUACAACAUGCAUCCUAGACUGAGGAAAAUCUAAUGUUUUUCAGACCUUUACCCCCUUCCCAGAUAAUACAGGACCACUCAGCACCCCACAAUUUAUAUGCUGUUGUUAUAUAUUUUUACAACUCUGUAAGAUGUUAUUAUCAUAGUUCUAUAACGUCAGUGUUCAUUUAGAUCUAUCCACAUAUUUACUACUUUCCUGCCUUUCACCCCUUCUUAUAGCUUUGUCUGUCCACCUGGGAUCAUUUUCCUUCGGCCUGAAGUCCUUCUUUUAGAAUUUCCUUUAAAGUGGGUUCAUGGGUGAGGAACCAUCUGAGUUUGUUUGAAAAUGUAUGCCUGAUUCCAGCAUUUGGUUGUGAUAGCUACAGGAUCUCAUUGUUUUAAUAUGUAUACUUUGACUUAAUUCUAGUAUUUCCAGCAUGGUAUCUGCACCUUCUGCAUCUGGUAUCCUCCAUGCCAGAGUGUCCCUACUUUACCCUUUUUGUUGGAUGGAUUUGGGACAUAAUCUGGAAGGAGAAUCAACAAGACUUGGUGACACUUCAGAGGCGGGAGAAUAAAAAAGAAGCAGCAUCACAGUAAUGCUCGUGUGAAGUUCUUCUAAAACAGGAACGUACGUUGGCAGAUUCCUUCACUCUCGUUCCAGUUCUA